GAUGAACGCUGGCGGCGUGCCUAAUACAUGCAAGUCGAGCGAACGGACGAGAAGUUUGCUUUUCUGAUGUUAGCGGCGGACGGGUGAGUAACACGUGGAUAACCUACCUAUAAGACUGGGAUAACUUCGGGAAACCGGAGCUAAUACCGGAUAAUAUUUUGAACCGCAUGGUUCAAAAGUGAAAGACGGUCUUGCUGUCACUUAUAGAUGGAUCCGCGCUGCAUUAGCUAGUUGGUAAGGUAACGGCUUACCAAGGCAACGAUGCAUAGCCGACCUGAGAGGGUGAUCGGCCACACUGGAACUGAGACACGGUCCAGACUCCUACGGGAGGCAGCAGUAGGGAAUCUUCCGCAAUGGGCGAAAGCCUGACGGAGCAACGCCGCGUGAGUGAUGAAGGUCUUCGGAUCGUAAAACUCUGUUAUUAGGGAAGAACAUAUGUGUAAGUAACUGUGCACAUCUUGACGGUACCUAAUCAGAAAGCCACGGCUAACUACGUGCCAGCAGCCGCGGUAAUACGUAGGUGGCAAGCGUUAUCCGGAAUUAUUGGGCGUAAAGCGCGCGUAGGCGGUUUUUUAAGUCUGAUGUGAAAGCCCACGGCUCAACCGUGGAGGGUCAUUGGAAACUGGAAAACUUGAGUGCAGAAGAGGAAAGUGGAAUUCCAUGUGUAGCGGUGAAAUGCGCAGAGAUGUGGAGGAACACCAGUGGCGAAGGCGACUUUCUGGUCUGUAACUGACGCUGAUGUGCGAAAGCGUGGGGAUCAAACAGGAUUAGAUACCCUGGUAGUCCACGCCGUAAACGAUGAGUGCUAAGUGUUAGGGGGUUUCCGCCCCUUAGUGCUGCAGCUAACGCAUUAAGCACUCCGCCUGGGGAGUACGACCGCAAGGUUGAAACUCAAAGGAAUUGACGGGGGCCCGCACAAGCGGUGGAGCAUGUGGUUUAAUUCGAAGCAACGCGAAGAACCUUACCAAAUCUUGACAUCCUUUGACAACUCUAGAGAUAGAGCCUUCCCCUUCGGGGGACAAAGUGACAGGUGGUGCAUGGUUGUCGUCAGCUCGUGUCGUGAGAUGUUGGGUUAAGUCCCGCAACGAGCGCAACCCUUAAGCUUAGUUGCCAUCAUUAAGUUGGGCACUCUAAGUUGACUGCCGGUGACAAACCGGAGGAAGGUGGGGAUGACGUCAAAUCAUCAUGCCCCUUAUGAUUUGGGCUACACACGUGCUACAAUGGACAAUACAAAGGGCAGCGAAACCGCGAGGUCAAGCAAAUCCCAUAAAGUUGUUCUCAGUUCGGAUUGUAGUCUGCAACUCGACUACAUGAAGCUGGAAUCGCUAGUAAUCGUAGAUCAGCAUGCUACGGUGAAUACGUUCCCGGGUCU
rnacentral:rRNA from 1 species